rfam:Gossypium arboreum cultivar AKA8401 contig_48272_1, whole genome shotgun sequence.
GGGUGCGAUCAUACCAGCACUAAUGCACCGGAUCCCAUCAGAACUCUGCUGUUAGGAGUGCUUGGGCGAGAGUAGUACUAGAAUGGGUGACCUCCUGGGAAGUUCUCGUGUUGCACCCC